AGGCUGGGCGGAGCCAUGAUAAGAUGCUAUCUGGGAAAAGGUUCUGGGCAAGGAGAGGAUUCACCUUUGGGAAGGAGAGAGUGGGCCCAGAUAGCCCGCGGGCUCGCCCCGCAGAGGGAUGGAUUCAGGGGAACAGGAGCCGCACCCCCACCCCAAGAGGAGAGAGCACGCCGAGGUCACCCUGGUCACCUGUCAGAGGACAGAUGUUCCAAAAGAGGCAUCUCGAAUAGAAACAAUGCACCUAACAGCAGAGCCCCGCAAUGCAUGAGCAAAGCCUGACAGCAAUGAAGGGCAAAUAGACAAUUCAACAGUAGUGGCUGGAGGCCCCAGAAAGCACGAGGAGCAGCCACAGAAAAGACAAACUG